UACGUAGGGGGGCAAGCGUUGUCCGGAUUUAUUGGGCGUAAAGAGCGUGUAGGCGGCCUGAAAGGUCAGCUGUGAAAACUCGAGGCUCAACCUCGAGACGUCGGUUGAAACCAUCUGGCUAGAGUCCGGAAGAGGAGUGUGGAAUUCCCGGUGUAGCGGUGAAAUGCGCAGAUAUCAGGAGGAACACCGAUGGCGAAGGCAGGUCUCUGGGCCACUACUGACGCUGAGAA
rnacentral:rRNA from 1 species